CAAACCUUUCGAACCCAUAUACCCCUGUGUUUCCGUUUUUGAAUCAUUAUUAUUUGUCCUUUCGGCCUGAACACAUCUAAAUUUGUUGUGUAGUCUCAAAUUAUUUCUUUUUGUUUGGUUCAAAAAACUUUACGGAUUAAUCAUGUGUUGCGGACCUUGUGGACCUUGCUGUGGACCCUGCUGUGGGCCCUGCGGACCGUGCUGUGGACCCUGCGGCGGAGGAUGUGGUCCCUGCUUUGGACCCAAUGUCUGCGGACCAUGCUAUGCCUGUGGACCCUGUGGCGGCUGCUACUGUGGAUAUCCUUGCUGUUAGAGUCGGACAAUUGGGGAUCCCUUAAAAGCUUAUGCGC